GGCGACGAUGGUUAGCUGGUCUGAGAGGAUGAUCAGCCACACUGGAACUGGAACACGGUCCAGACUCCUACGGGAGGCAGCAGUGAGGAAUUUUGCGCAAUGGGGGAAACCCCGACGCAGCAACGCCGCGUGAGCGAAGAAGGCCUUCGGGUCGUAAAGCUCUGUCAAGUGGAAAAAAAAUCUUUUGAUCAAUAGUCAAAAGACUUGAUGGUACCACUGGAGGAAGCACCGGCUAACUCCGUGCCAGCAGCCGCGGUAAUACGGAGGGUGCAAGCGUUGUUCGGAUUUACUGGGCGUAAAGAGCGUGUAGGCGGUUUAGCAAGUCAGAUGUGAAAGCCCUGGGCUCAACCCGGGAAGUGCAUUUGAAACUGCUUCACUAGAGUAUGGGAGAGGAGAUAGGAAUUCCUGGUGUAGAGGUGAAAUUCGUAGAUAUCAGGAGGAACACCCGUGGCGAAGGCGAUUCUCUGGACCAAUACUGACGCUGAGACGCGAAAGCGUGGGGAGCAAACAGGAUUAGAUACCCUGGUAGUCCACGCCGUAAACGAUGAGAACUAGGUGUAGUGGGUAUUGACCCCUGCUGUGCCGAAGUUAACGCAUUAAGUUCUCCGCCUGGGGAGUACGGCCGCAAGGCUAAAACUCAAAGGAAUUGACGGGGGCCCGCACAAGCGGUGGAGCAUGUGGUUUAAUUCGACGCAACGCGAAGAACCUUACCUGGGUUUGACAUCCUCUGACCGUCUGGGAAACCAGAUUUUUCCGGCUUUGCCGGAACAGAGUGACAGGUGCUGCAUGGCUGUCGUCAGCUCGUGUCGUGAGAUGUUGGGUUAAGUCCCGCAACGAGCGUAACCCUUGUCUUUAGUUGCCAUUAUUAAGUUAGGCACUCUAAAGAGACUGCCUCGGUUAACGGGGAGGAAGGUGGGGAUGACGUCAAGUCCUCAUGGCCUUUAUAUCCAGGGCUACACACGUGCUACAAUGGGCUGUACAAAGGGUUGCUAACCCGCGAGGGUGCGCUAAUCCCAAAAAGCAGUUCUCAGUUCGGAUUGAAGUCUGCAACUCGACUUCAUGAAGGUGGAAUCGCUAGUAAUCGUGGAUCAGCAUGCCACGGUGAAUACGUUCCCGGGCCUUGUACACACCGCCCGUCACACCACGAAAGUCGACUGUACCAGAAGUUGCUGGGCUAACCUCUUCGGAGGAGGCAGGUACCUAAGGUACGGCCGGUAAUUGGGGUGAAGUCGUAGCAAGGUA
rnacentral:rRNA from 1 species